rnacentral:rRNA from 1 species
GAGUUUGAUCCUGGCUCAGAUUGAACGCUGGCGGCAUGCCUUACACAUGCAAGUCGAACGGCAGCACGGGAGCAAUCCUGGUGGCGAGUGGCGAACGGGUGAGUAAUAUAUCGGAACGUGCCCAGUAGUGGGGGAUAGCCCGGCGAAAGCCGGAUUAAUACCGCAUACGACCUACGGGUGAAAGCGGGGGAUCGCAAGACCUCGCGCUAUUGGAGCGGCCGAUAUCAGAUUAGCUAGUUGGUGGGGUAAAAGCCUACCAAGGCGACGAUCUGUAGCUGGUCUGAGAGAACGACCAGCCACACUGGGACUGAGACACGGCCCAGACUCCUACGGGAGGCAGCAGUGGGGAAUUUUGGACAAUGGGCGCAAGCCUGAUCCAGCCAUGCCGCGUGCGGGAAGAAGGCCUUCGGGUUGUAAACCGCUUUUGUCAGGGAAGAAAUCCUUUGGGCUAAUACCCCGGGGGGAUGACGGUACCUGAAGAAUAAGCACCGGCUAACUACGUGCCAGCAGCCGCGGUAAUACGUAGGGUGCAAGCGUUAAUCGGAAUUACUGGGCGUAAAGCGUGCGCAGGCGGUUCUAUAAGACAGAUGUGAAAUCCCCGGGCUCAACCUGGGAACUGCAUUUGUGACUGUAGAGCUGGAGUACGGUAGAGGGGGAUGGAAUUCCGCGUGUAGCAGUGAAAUG